GCCAGGUGCAGUGGCACGCACCUGUAAUCCCAGCUACUUGGGAGGGUGAGGCAGGAGAAUCGCUUGAACUAAGUAGGUGGAGGUUACAGUGAGCCAAGAUUGCACCGCUGCACUCCAGCCUGGAUGGCAGAGUAAAUCUCUGUCUCAAAAAAGAAAGAUACACACAUCUCUAACAAAGGAUUUUUUUUUUUUCUUGAGACAGGAUCUCUCUCCAUCACCCAGGCUGGAGUGCAGUGGCUCCAUCUCGGCUCACUGCAACCUCCACCCCCAAGGCUCAAGCGAUAUUCCUACC
rnacentral:lncRNA from 10 species